rnacentral:rRNA from 1 species
AUACAGAGGGUGCAAGCGUUAAUCGGAAUUACUGGGCGUAAAGCGCGCGUAGGCGGUUAUUUAAGUUGGAUGUGAAAGCCCCGGGCUCAACCUGGGAACUGCAUCCAAAACUGGGUAACUAGAGUAUGGUAGAGGGUAGUGGAAUUCCCGGUGUAGCGGUGAAAUGCGUCGAUAUCGGGAGGAACACCAGUGGCGAAGGCGACUACCUGGACCAAUACUGACGCUGAGGUGCGAAAGCGUGGGGAGCAAACAGGAUUAGAAACCCCAGUAGUCC